rnacentral:lncRNA from 1 species
AGAGGUAUUUCAAAUCAGUGGAGAAGGUUGCAUUCAUGAGAAAAUUGAGACCUUUUUCUUUUUGGGGGGAAAAACUAGAUAUACCAAACACUUAAAAAGAAGAGUUCUAACUAAAACUAUUAGAAAAGUUUAAGGUAUGUUUUUAUUAGACUCCUGUGAGAGCAAGCUGUUAGAAAAUGACUUUCUGAUUGAUUUUGUGGUACUCAUUUAGCAUGUUUUGGUUUAACUGCCAGAAAAUGAGACGGCAGAGUAAGUUAUGUAAAACAUUGUCAAUGAAAUUGUAUUAUGUGAAAAUGGGUAUUUUAAAAUAUUUUUUGAAACUAUAAUUAGAUAAUUUCCCCUUUCCCUUUCCUCCCUCCUAACCCUCCCAUCUACCCCUCUUUCAAAUUCAUGGCCUUUUUUUUUCUUUAAUUGUUGUGUGUGUAUGCACCGAAUAUGUAUUACCAUUUCAAAUCUGAGGAAUUGGGCACAGUAAGGAAAUACCAAAUCAAAGCAGGACUGAAACCCAGUAGAGAGAACUCCAGAUCCUCUGGCUCCAUGUCUACUGUCAGAAGGCUAGCAUGGCUGUGGCCUUCUGGCUUUGCUCAUAUGUUGUUUCUCUCUUGGGCUGGCUCUACUCCCCGUAUGGAGCCCUCCAUAAUAGAUAUGCCAUGGCUCUAGCACCUCAAUAUCUUGGGGCCUUCAGCACAACUCAAGUUUCACUUUUACAGUGCAGUGGCCUCUCUGGGCUUCUUUCAGUUUUUGUUAGGGCCUUGAUGGAGGUGUCGCUCCACUACAUACUGCCUGGACUCAGCAGCUCUCCUUAACCAAGGAAGAUUCUACGAUUCUACAACUUUCUUUACUCGUGUGUGUGUGUGUGUGUGUGUGUGUGUGUGUGUGUUAAAAAUACAACCUGUUUAUCACUCUGUAUAAUGCUACUUGUAUGUAUGGUUUUAGGACUGACGAUUUUUAUUGAGUGGUAUACACUUGUCUGAACAGACUAUUUCUCUUGUUCUCAGCAUUCUUUAUUUGCCUGUAGGUCUUUAUCUAGGGUUGAGGCCUUGUGAGAUUUUUGUCUUCCAUGUCAGCAUGUCUAAUGUUUUCUUUGCUCAGUUCAUGUUUAGGUAGCCAUGUUUGUGCUAUUUCAUGGAUAUAGCUUCUGACAUUUCUAGGAGAUACAGUCUCACAGCAAACUCCCUGAUUUUCUGCCUCUAUAGUAAUCUUUCCAGCCCUUCUGCAGUGUUGCCGGAGGUGAGGGAGCUGUGUUGAAGAUAUAUCAAUUUGGACUGAGCUCUAUAGUUUUGCAUUUUGAUCAGUUACAUUUUUCUGUAAUGAUCUGUUGCCUGGUGGAAAAUGAAGGUUGUAUGUAUGUAUGUAUGUAUGUAUGUAAUGUAUGUAUGUAUUUUGGGGCAGAUGAAAGCCAUACUUCUGGUGAGACCCUGGAGAAUGACCAAAAUGGAUGUUUUAAGGCUAGUUUGAAUUACUCUAUAGUGUUAGAAAAACACUUUGUUGUUUCCUUCAUUCUUGUCCCUGUACUUUGAAGUGUGCUAAGACAACAAAAAAAGAUGACUCAUUUAAAAUGAAUAUUUUACUUUAUUAAGCUGAUUUCUUAGGUUUAUCCUGAAAUUUUUUUAAAAUAAAAGUGUUCUCAGCUGUAUCAGUCAAUUUAUGAAAAAUAUUAACAGAAGAAAAACAAGCUUAUGUAUAAGCUAUCAUAUCAGAUCAAAUUUAACACAGAAAGUUAAUCUCGAAUAAAUUUAAGUUUUGGAUUUUGGGAAGUUUCAAGUUUUAAGAAAUUUUAUGGUGAUAUCUCAGCAGCAGUAGAAUCUAUUGAGAGGUUUUUUAAUGAACGGACUUAUUUUCUUAGGUCUUUGGUAAAUUUUAAAGACACGCUUUCUAAAUAUUUUUAUUUUAUUUUGACUGUCAAAGAUGAAGACUUAGGCAAGUAAGAAUUAUACAAUGAAAAGUCUUGUUAAAAACAAAGGUGGUGUAAUUGUAAGCACUGCUGAUUUAUCAUAAUUAAUACACCUCAAAUUAGUACAAAAAGCAUUUUGGAAAGUCAUGCUUUUUGACAGCUGUGGGUCUUUGAUGUAAGACAGGCAGAGAGGAGGGUGGGCUACGGCACAGUGAUUUGAUGGGUUCAAGUCAUGCUUGUGCUGCAUGUUUGUUCCCUGAGACGGUUUUGAUCAUAGAGAUUGCUGUUGAUCUCUAACUUGGGUAGUCUCAGCUGUUGUUUUUAUUUGAAAUUUGGAGUUUACAACUGUAAAUCUGACAAUUAGGCAAAUAAAAAUAAUGGAAUGCAGGGUAGUUAGAGGAUUGUCUUUUUGUUGAUGGUGGCUUUUUGAGACAGAUCUUGCCUUAUAGUUCAGCAUAGCCUUGGACUUACUAUGUAGCUCAGGCUAGCCUUGAACUUGGAAUUCUCUUGCCUUGAUCUCUGGAAUUCUAGAAUUCCUGUCAGGUACUAUUAAUUGUAGGCUAUUCCUUAAGAGUGUUAAUGUCUUUAGUAUGCUCUAUAAUUUUUUACAAAGUAUAAUCACUAUGUAAUAAUGGGUAGUGGUGGUAUCACUUUUUCUUAGAGAGGUUCACCCCUGUAAUUGAGCAUGGAACACUUGAGGGUUAAAUGAGAACUUAGAUCAGAUUGAAAUCUUUGAAACAUGCUCUCAGAUGAUAGCAUAACCAUGUACUUUAAAUAUGCACUUUAAAUAUGUUUAAAAAGAUCAAAGGAAGAAUAAUAAUAUUGAAACUUCAAUUCCACAAAUAGUGUUAUAUCUUUCCAAAAUUUAUGACAUUCUUUUUGUAUUAUAGUGACAGAGCUGAGUAGUUGUGACAGAGACCAUACAGUAUAUUUUUCAUCACUUUAUAGUGCUCUUAGCUUGUAACAUUUAGUGAUACAGUUAUAAUGUGACUGUAUGCUGAGUGUCAUGGCUCUUGUUGGUCUUUGUUACUUGUUUUCUUUAUUACUAGUUCAUGUCCAUCAAAACAAGAGAAAAUGGACUUUGAGUGAUGUGUGUGCACAUACAAAUCCCUGUGUGCAUAUAUGUGCUGGAGCUAAAACCCAAGUAUUGUACAUGCCAAGUAUAUACUCUAUGAUGGAGCUACACCCUUGGCCCUUGAAUGGAAUUUGGAUUACUUUGUUGAAUUAAAUAACAAACAAACAAAAAAGAUUGCUUUUAUUAUUGGGAUAGAAGUAUAUAUAUAUAUGUUGACAUUACCAGAGUAAACAUACUGCCACAUUCCCAACUUUUGGGGUUGUAAUGGGAACUUUUGAAAUGAAGUAUCUCAUCAUGAUAUAAUUUCUCCC